rnacentral:tRNA from 1 species
GCUGAUGUGGCAGAGCCCGGUAAUUGCAAAAGCCCUAAGCCCUUUACACCAGGGGUUCAAAUCCUCUCUUCAGCU